rnacentral:rRNA from 1 species
GAUGAACGCUAGCUACAGGCUUAACACAUGCAAGUCGAGGGGCAGCAUGAUCGAAGCUUGCUUUGAUUGAUGGCGACCGGCGCACGGGUGAGUAACGCGUAUCCAACCUUCCCUAUAGUAGAGGAUAGCCCGGCGAAAGUCGGAUUAAUUCCCUAUGUUCUUGACAGCAGACAUCUAACGUCAAGCAAAGAUUCAUCGCUAUGGGAUGGGGAUGCGUCUGAUUAGGUUGUCGGCGGGGUAACGGCCCACCGAGCCUGCGAUCAGUAGGGGUUCUGAGAGGAAGGUCCCCCACAUUGGAACUGAGACACGGUCCAAACUCC